UACGAAGGGGGCUAGCGUUGCUCGGAAUCACUGGGCGUAAAGGGUGCGUAGGCGGCUUUGUAAGUCAGUGGUGAAAUACUCCAGCUUAACUGGAGGGGUGCCAUUGAUACUGCGGAGCUUGAGUACAGAUGAGGUAGGCGGAAUUGACGGUGUAGCGGUGAAAUGCAUAGAUAUCGUCAAGAACACCGAUAGCGAAGGCAGCUUACUGGGCUGUAGCUGACGCUGAUGCACGAAAGUGUGGGGAUCAAACAGG
rnacentral:rRNA from 1 species